UGACGCUCAGGUGGUGAAGGAAAGUAGGACAGCUGAGAGUUGGAGGAAGGAAACGGGCAACCAGCCACAGAAUCGACUACUGAGAAGCAGAACUGUGACAAGACAACAUGCAACACAGGGGUGGGCUUGAUUGAGCAGCGUCGGAGGAGUUGAGGAGCAAAGAAAGCAGCCAGGAGACGGAGGCAGAGAGGAGACGCUGAGCCCUGCUGAUAUUCCAUCGUCUGAAUCACGAACAGACCUGCAACAUGGCUGUCAGCAUGAUGGAGACCUUAUCGAGGAGGGGGGCGAGCUCGCAGCACCGACGUUCAAAUUCACAGCUGCUUCCAACUAACUCGCCUCUGCAUCAGUUUCAGCUCAAGUCACUGAACUUUGUAGAUGUCAAAGGAAAAAGAAGUGUUUCUUAACUCAAGAUAAGCCAUCUUUUUGUACAACAUCUCAUUUUUCUCAACUAUCUUGUAUAUAGCAAAUGUUACAGUAGCUGACUGAGGAAGGAAGUGUUCUUUCUUCCCUUGUGUCCAUCUGUACUAUCUUCUUUGUUUUUAAAAUUAUUACCUUCUUUCUUUUCCUUUUUCCUUUUUCUUACCUAUUUUUUCCUUCCUUCCUCCCUUCCGUCCUCUUUCCUUCCUUGCUUCUAUUUUUCCUUCCUUCUUCAAUGCUUCCUUUCUUUUUCUUUUGCCCAAACAUUCUUUUCUUUUGUCCAUCUUUACUUGCUUCGUACCCUUCAGUUUUCUUCCUUCCUUACUAUUUCCAUCUUUCUUUCCUCCUUUUCUUCUGUAAUUAAUUCUUUUAUUUGUUCCUUUUUCCUUCCUUUCCUCCUUCUUUCCUUACUUGCUUCUAUUUUUCCAUCUUUCCUUCUACACUCCCUUAUUUUGCUUGCUUCUUUCCUUCCCUCAUUCUUCCCUAGUUUCCUUGGUUGCUGUUGUUUUCCAUCUAUCUUUCCUUCUACAUUUCCUUCUUUCAUUCCCAUUUCCUACCUUGCUUUCUUUCUCCAUUGUUUCUUUCUUUCCUUCUUUUAUUCCUUCCCUCUAUAUUUCCCUCUUUUCACCUUUCCUUCUUUCAUUAUCACCUUUCGUUUUCUGCUUCUGUCUUACCUUUCUUUUUCCUUUCCUUCUUCCUUCCAUUCUUCUUUCCUACUUUCUUCACUUAUUUCAUCCUGUCUUCCCACUUUCUUUGUUUGCUUGAUCAAACUGUCUUGUUCCUUCCUUCCUUUUCUCAGUUUUUGCUCUCUUAACCCUUGCUUUGAUUAGUUUCCUUCCUUUUUAAUUUCUUCCUUCUUUCUUUAUGUUUGGCUUCAUUCCAUCCUCAUUCUCUCACGUCUCCCAGUCGUUUCGCUACAGUUUUCUAUUCAAAUAUUGUAAAUAAACAGCUUUCAC
ensembl:lncRNA